UACGUAGGGACCGAGCGUUGUCCGGAUUCAUUGGGCGUAAAGAGCGGGUAGGCGGUUCGGUAAGUCUGGCGUGAAAUCCUGAGGCUCAACCUCGGGCGUGCGAUGGAUACUGCCGGGCUAGAGGAUGGUAGAGGCGAGUGGAAUUCCUGGUGUAGCGGUGGAAUGCGCAGAUAUCAGGAGGAACACCAAUAGCGGAGGCAGCUCGCUGGGACGUUACUGACACUGAGGCGCGAAAGCCAGGGGAGCAAACGGG
rnacentral:rRNA from 1 species